rnacentral:tRNA from 1 species
UGGAUCACCUCCUUAAAGGGAGACCUAAUUCAGGUAUGGGAUGAAAAAAAAGUAGUCCCAACCAAGAAUCAAUCCCAAAAGGUCGGAGCGAGGCAAAAUUGGCUUUCAAACUAGGUUCUGGGUUCACACAAGACCUGAAUCAGGAACAAGGGCUAUUACCUCAGGUGGUUAGAGCGCACCCCUGAUAAGGGUGAGGUCCCUGGUUCGAGUCCAGGAUGGCCCACCUGCACAGGUGGCCAAAACAAAGAAAAAAAGCUCCGAAUCAGCACCUUAUCUUACUUAUAUAGAAAGAGAGAAUGCUGGCUCUGAGUACAGAGUCCAAAGGAACCUUGAAAACUGCAUAA